UGCCGGUUGUCCAUAGACCGGGGUUACUGAAGAGGCACACCUUCAUUGCCGGCAGUGCGGAGCGGGUCCUCCAAUCCAAAGCUGAGGCAGACAAAGCGAGCUCCCGCCGCAAGGCGUUUGCUCAUCGCCGCGUAACUCGCGUUUCAU
rfam:Rhizobiales bacterium 65-79 SCNpilot_cont_1000_bf_scaffold_432, whole genome shotgun sequence.